UGUACCCACAUGAUGCAUUAGGGGAACCCGGUUCCAGAGAGAGCGGGGAGUAUGUCCACACCCCGGUUUAAUCAGGUACUAGGCUUCACGAUCCCAUACUCGGUAUGUGUUUAGUACUUUCAAACACUUGACCGCAACUCUAACACAUUUCAACCUUAGUAGUUUUUCUCUAAACAGAUGGGGCAUCCACCAAAUCGAAAACAUAUUACCAAC
rnacentral:lncRNA from 1 species